rnacentral:rRNA from 1 species
GGGAGUGAAAUAGAACCUGAAACCCUGCACUUACAAGCUGUGGAAGCACAUUUCUUGUGUGACCGCGUACUUUUUGUAGAACGGGCCAACGAGUUACGUUAAGUAGCAAGGUUAAGCACUUAAGGUGUGGAGCCGUAGCGAAAGCGAGUUUUAACUGAGCGUUCAGUUACUUGACGUAGACCCGAAACCGGGCGACCUACCCAUGAGCAGGAUGAAGCGAAAGUAAAAUUUCGUGGAGGUCCGAACCCCCGAGCGUUUAAAAGCUCGGGGAUGACUUGUGGGUAGCGGUGAAAUUCCAAUCGAGCCCGGCGCUCGCUGGUUCGCCCCGAAAUCGCUUUAAGGCGAGCCUCAAGGUGAGAGAUACAGAGGUUGAACACUGACUGGCCUAGGGGGGAUUGCACCUACCGAA